CUAAGAGGCAGGCACAAGUAUAUAUUAUAAGCCUUAGCUACAACUACUUUUGCAGAUUUACAAACAACAAAUAAAUACAGGAAGAUUUGGGAAUUCCAAUACUGGGCAUCCAGACAGAGGAUGCAGAUGGAAGGUGAGGUUGGGGGCAGUUGGCUGCAUUUUAAAAAUGUGCUACCAUAGGAAGCACUUGAAUAGAUCGGCUAAGCUGAUUUUUCAAUUUGAAAAUAGUCCCUGUGACAGAAGUAAUGACUUCAUGAAAAACUCAAUCUAGAUGGAGCUGAGCAGACCCAUUUGUUUCUCGUAUGGAGGCUCCAGUCUUGCAAUGAGGACCCUGCAGAUAGACCCCUGAAUUCACUAACAUCACCUGAGAGAAGCCCUGAUUAUCAAUCGAGUGUUGGGGCGAUGGCAAGAAGCACUACAGAUCUAUCAGGAUUAUUCAGAAGUCAAAGCUCCAGCUAUUUUUGUCGGCAAGAUUCAGUUUGGAAACUGCAGAAUCUUAACACUCUAACUGCAUGUCACUGUCUCAUCACAAUCCUAAUUCUAUGUUCCGAUAAUAAAAUUUCAUUAGUGUCUGCACAUCUUUUGCCUUACCUUUGAAGUACUGUCUUGUGCUGAAACGAUUAGCAGUACUUUACGUCAUAUCACUUGACUGUUUGACAGCCAUUGUGAGCGAGCUAAAUGAGGACAUUUCCUCCAGGCUGGGUUUUUGACUGUUUGUGUCAGUGCAAAAAGAAAAUAAAAACGUAUGAAUAUUUCAGAACAGAAGAUCGGUGAAUUUCUCCCUUGUUUCAUCAGAGGAGAAUAAUGAGGUGAUCAGGAUGUUUGUCCUAUAGCCAAGUGCUAGCUAGGAACAAGAAAAAUACUUGAAAAAAGGUAACAGAGCAGCGAAUUCAUAUUCUGAGUUCAAGAACAGGAAACCAUAGACUUCCCAUCAACGGCCACGAUUCUGUAUUCCAUUUUACA